rnacentral:rRNA from 1 species
GGCGGCCCUCAACUCAAAAUGCUCUACAGGCUAACGCCUUACGCAACAACGCCGUCGUGAGUGAUGAAGGUAUUCGGAUCGUAAAGCUCUGUCAGAGGGGAAGAAACUCCCGGGUGUAAAUAACACUUGGGCCUGACGGUACCCUCAAAGGAAGCACCGGCUAACUCCGUGCCAGCAGCCGCGGUAAUACGGAGGGUGCAAGCGUUGUUCGGAAUUAUUGGGCGUAAAGCGCGUGUAGGCGGUUGUUUAAGUCUGAUGUGAAAGCCCUGGGCUCAACCCGGGAAGUGCAUUGGAAACUGGGCAACUUGAGUACGGGAGAGGGUAGUGGAAUUCCGAGUGUAGGGGUGAAAUCCGUAGAUAUUCGGAGGAACACCGGUGGCGAAGGCGGCUACCUGGACCGAUACUGACGCUGAGACGCGAAAGCGUGGGGAGCAAACAGGAUUAGAUACCCUGGUAGUCCACGCCGUAAACGAU